rnacentral:lncRNA from 1 species
AAAAGUUACGGGAAAAUGGAACUCGAAGAGAAUUUUUAGUAAUUGAAAUAACAGUUUGAUCAAAAUAUAAUUGGACGAAGAAUGGUUUGCAGUCGUACGUCAGCUUUGGCCAAUGUAAAAAAAAAAAAAAAAAGUUUUCAAUUAGUAGUGGGAAAAUUGUAGCAUAUACGGUGUUGGUGAAUCGAACGAUUAGCUGGGAG